GACAUUUUAGACAUAUUAAGUUGGGAAUGAUAGUUUACCGAACUUACUACGCUCUGCUCCAAAUGGUCCUAGAUAGAUUGCACUUGUUACCAACGCAGUUGAUAACAGAUUUUGCAAACGACAAUAUUACUAUUGAAUCUGCUUUAUGCGGCUUGGAGAUAUUCCCAAUGAUAUCAGCUGCCGCUCGAAGAAAACUUUCUGGGCGCAGUUUUGCGUUGAUGUCUUCAAUCCGAAACCAUCGCCAUAAUCCAUAUUACUUGGGUGGAUACCCCAGACAGCCAAGAUUUUAAUAUUGUUCAUUGUUUUUCAAUUUUAUUAUCAGUUUCGUAUCAAAUAAUGUUAUGUUUUUAACUCAUUUGCUUUUUCAUGCGAAUCAAACUUUCAUGUAUUAGACUUACGAUUUUGUAAUCCAGUUAUUUCUAACAAAGAAUUUAUAGUGGUCUGUAUAAUACACCAUUUAUUUUUGUCUAUCUUGCUAUAAGAAAAGCUCUUUUUGCUAAACUGUUCUUCGAAUAUAAAGCAUUAUUUACAUA